AUGGACUGCAGCCAACCCCACGCCAUGCACCUUUGGCAGCACGGGGGGACCGCCUUGUCAGUGGCCCAAUCUGUCGGCCCGGGUGCAAGCCUCGCACGCUCUGUGAUGCACAGCCUUCGGGCGGUCGCUCUACUUAGCGCAGUCACUGCGGGUGGGCCCUGCCCACCGCUGCCGUCCCCUCCCACCCCGGCGCGCCCCUCGACCCGCCCCCGGGAAAGGCGGGGAGCACCCGCCAGGGACCCGAGGCUUCAGGGACCCGAGGCUUCAGGGACUCAGCCGGGGGUGGCCGCUCACAAACCGAAUCGAGCCGGCAAGGCUGCGGAGCUGCACGCCCAGAGAGACAGCGACCACGCCACGCGGUCCCGACGAACGUGCGGGAAGUGGAGAGUGACUGAUCGCAGUCCGGAGGUGGUGGCUGACAUUCAAAAUCUGGUAAAAAGAUUGGAGAGGGCAGUGGGCCACCUGGAAGCAGUAUCCCAUACCUCUGAUAUGCACCGUGGGUAUGGAGACAGUCCUUCAGAAGCAGGAGCAGCUCCAUCUGGGCAGGCAUUUGACUCGCUGCUUGCCAGUCCUAUGGCAGAGUACUUGAAGAUCAGUAGAGAGAUUGGGGGAGACGUGCAGAAACAUGCGGAGAUGUUCCACAGGGUUUUGAAGUUGGAGCGAGCUCUCUUGGCUACAGCUUCUCAGUGUCAACAGCCGGCAGGUAAUAAGCUUUCCGAUUUGUUGGCACCCAUCUCAGAGCAGAUCAAAGAAGUGAUAACCUUUCAGGAGAAGAACCGAGGAGCAAGUUUUAAAUCACCUGUCAGCUGUCAGCAAAAGUAUCCAGGCCCUGGGCUGGGUGGCUAUGGCUCCCAAGUCUGGUCUUUAUGUGAAAGAAAUGAUGCUGCCAUGUUUUAUACAAACAGAGUCAUCAGAGUACAACCACGUAGACUGGGUCAAUAUUUAUUUAAGUAUACAGGCUUACAUUAAGGAGUUCCAUACCACCAGACUGGCCUGAAGCAAAAUGGGGCCUGUAGCAAAAGAACUGAGGGGACUACCAUCUGGACCCUCGGCUGGAUCAGGCCACUGGCCUCCCCAGUCUACCAGUUCAGGCUCAGAUGAGUCUGUUUCCCUCUCAGCACUGUUUGUGCAGAUUAAUUCGGGGGAGAGCAUCACACAUGCCCUGAAAUAUGUAUCUGAUGACAUGAAGACUCACAAGAACCCUGCUCUGAAGGCUCAGAGUGGUCCGGUACACAGUGGCCCCAAACCAUUCUCUGUACCUAAACCCCAAAUCAGCCAUAAAGGAGCCAGCUGUACUUGAACUGGAGGGCAAGAAGUGAAGAGUGGAAAAUCAGGAAAAUGUUUCCAACCUGGUGAUUGAUGACACAGAGCUGAAACAUAUGGCUUACAUACAUGUGUGUCAACACGACAUUGCAAAUCAAGAGCAAAAUUAAUUCCAUUACAGAAGAUAACUAUAAGAAAUUUGGUCCGGUAUUCAAUGACAUGGUGGGCAUUGUGGAGCUAAUCAACAGUAGGGAUGUCAAAGUUCAGGUAAUAGGUAAAGUGCCAAACAUUUCCAUCAACAAAACAGAUGGCUGCCAUGCUUACCUGAGCAAGAAUUCCCUGGAUUGUGACAUAGUCAGUGUCAAAUCUUCUAAGAUGAACAUUCUCAUUCCUACAGAAGGUGGUGACUUUAAUAAAUUCCCAGUUCCUGAGCAGUUCAAGACUAUGGAAUAGAUAGAAGUUGGUCACCACAGUGACAGAAAUUGCUGAAUAAGUGAAGUAGGUUGUCUGCCCUCUCUUCACAUCAUGGGAUAAAUCUGUAUCAAGAUGGUUUUCCAGAUUUCCUCUACAUUUCUGCUCUUAAAACUGCUUCUCUACUCUGAGAAGCACAGCUAUUCGCCUUCACUGAAAUCUACCUCAGGUUAAGAUUUAGGGUGGGAUAGCAGAUCAGUUGAUCUUCUGCAAGAAGGUGCAGCUUUUCCAGAUCAGCUCAACCAUGACCAGGACUGCCGAUCAGGACUGAUGAUGCAUUUUAGCUUUGAGCUCUGGGGGUUUAGUCUACCAACAAACAGUCCAUUGGGAAGAAAACAGUCCCAGGAAUUAACAGAUCAGAAUGUUCACACUGGUUAAUCUUUUUCUAACAAUGAGCAUGAAGGUAGCAGAAGCUGGUGUGUUUCCAGAUGGUUCUUCUAACCAAACUAAUUGUUCACUGUUGACAAAUGAGGCAAGGGUUACACAGGACCAAAGGCUGAGGCUUGGCCAUCUAGUAUUCCACGCAAAAUUGUUUUCUAUAACCAUUUUUUUAAUUCUCUAUUCUAUCUUGGGUCUGCCUCAACCAUGAGAUAGGGGAGUCUCUGGUACUAGCUGCUGUGGCAGUGCCCUUCAUCCAGGGCAGUUAAAGGAGUCUUGGACCCUUUCUUUCUCUGCGAUCCCUGCCCAGUACCUUCCUACAGAGAUGACUUUAAAAG